CAGCCAAACACAUCGACGGGGGUGACGGCGUCGUCCGCGCCGCCGGCUGCCCUUUGGUUUAGGGUGCGAAAGCAGUCAUCCGCGGCGGCGACCGUGCCGCCGGCGGCAACAACGACAUCGCUGGGGAGCGGAGGGGUCGGACCAAGCGGCCGGCGUCGCGAAUUUCCUGUUGAUGUAAAUGGCCCACGAGGGCACCGCAGAGGAAUACCCGAGCUACUCGACGCCGGCGCCGACCCCAACUUCAGCGACUUAGACGCCCGCACGGCGAUGCAUAUCCCCGCCUGUGAGGAGCACGCAGUGCCCGUACAGCUGCUCCUCGAGCGCGGCGCGGGGUGUUGGUCGUAGUCGUGGUACUUCUGCUGGUACUGUCUCCGCAUGCGCCCUGCCACUUCUCUCCAUGUAUGUGCAGCUGCUGUUUCUUUCUUUCUCUCAUUGUGCCUGCCUGCUGCUGCUACCACCUCUCUAUGGUUGUUGUUGUCGUUGCUCCUCUCUCUACUAUUGCUCCUCCUGGCUCCUGCCAUACGAUUUCUCUUCCCUCUCUCCCUUAGUGGAUAAGCCCGUGCAGAUCCUCAAUGUUUUUUGUGUCUACUUAUGUAUGAGCUCAUGCCUUCUAUCUGUUCGGUGUUAUGCUCAUAAGAACUAAAAUUGAUUGUUUCAAGUUUUUUUGUGGGGUUCUGAGAGUUAGGACAACUGCAAAUUGACAAUACGAGCACACAUGGUUCAAGAUUUUGUGUUUCAUGCCUUCUACCUGUUCGACGUUAUGCUCAUAAGAACUAAAACUGAUUGUUUCAAGUUUUUUUGUGGGAUUCUGAGAGUUAGGACAACUGCAAAUUGACAAUACGAGCACACCUGGUUCAAGAUUUUGUGUUGAUUUUGAUUUGGUGAAUUUUGCCUUGCUAUAUGGGUGGCGCAGAGCCGACUGCUCGAUAUGGUUUACCCUAGAGUGGUGAAGAUUCACAAGGUGAAUUUUGAUGCAAAGACGGAACGCGACAUGAUCCAUGACUAUAAGGUUCCCUCGGACGUGUUUAACAAGCUGCACAUAACUGAGAUAAGCAAGAAAAAUUCAAACUCUACAGUCAGUGAACUGCAGGCACAACCUGUUCGAACAAAGCACUGGAUGUUUGUGAGGUGUUGGUCUUCCUCUUUGGGGACGCCCACACCCACUACUCGGCGGCGCCGUGGGCGGCCAAGUCUGCAUGAACAAGGGGCACGGUGGCGGCACAAAUUCCUUGGCAUUCAUUGAUCAAUCGGUGUGCUAAGGGUGCCUCAGCGGGGAAGAUGAGUACUGUAGAUGGGCGUCUCGGCGGAUUUCGACUAAUGGGAAGAGGAAAGACGGGAUGGAUUGCACCAUAGCCAUGAACAAGACUAAGAGAUCAAUACAACAAAUUCCAUUCAUGGGUGAGGACCCUUGAAGAAAACAACAGGCUGACGGUGAAGGAAGAAGAAAACAGAACAUCUUACGGACUCCCUUUUCGACAACAAAGUUGAGCUCUCGAUCCCUACUGAAGAGAACGCAGGCCCCGGUCCAGCUGUUGACCUCCCAACGCUGUGCUUGAUCCCGAUGACAAAGCAAAACUCGCUCCAGUUCACAACCUCGAUCCCCACACCAAAAAUGGAACUGACCAUCACCCUCUCCCCAGACUACAAAGACAACAAUGCCGGACACUGACAGCUUGAAGAAAUAGGAACACCGGCACCCCAGUCUUAGCAUGACAUCCACUAUGUAUCUAUGUAGUGAUCUACUGUGCUAUUAAUCCUAUUAUCACUGCCUAAUAUUACCGUUUUAGUGACUCAAUAGUCAAUACUAUGAAAUCAGUGAUCGGGUACGAUGUACCAACACCAGUAGCCAAUCUCUAUUUCAUGAACGAAAUAGCCCUUCUAGCACCA